UACGUAGGGUGCGAGCGUUGUCCGGAAUUAUUGGGCGUAAAGAGCUCGUAGGCGGUGUGUCGCGUCGGCCGUGAAAACCUGGGGCUUAACUCUGGGCGUGCGGUCGAUACGGGCAUCACUAGAGUUCGGCAGGGGAGACUGGAAUUCCUGGUGUAGCAGUGAAAUGCGUAGAUAUCAGGAGGAAUACCGAUGGCGAAGGCAGGUCUCUGGGCUGACACUGACGCUCAUGCACGAAAGCGUGGGGAGCAAACAGG
rnacentral:rRNA from 1 species